GACGAACGCUGGCGGCGUGCCUAAUACAUGCAAGUAGAACGCUGAAGAGAGGAGCUUGCUCUUCUUGGAUGAGUUGCGAACGGGUGAGUAACGCGUAGGUAACCUGCCUUGUAGCGGGGGAUAAAUAUUGGAAACGAUAGCUAAUACCGCAUAACAAUGGAUUACCCAUGUCAUUUAUUUGAAAGGGGCAAAUGCUCCACUACAAGAUGGACCUGCGUUGUAUUAGCUAGUAGGUGAGGUAACGGCUCACCUAGGCGACGAUACAUAGCCGACCUGAGAGGGUGAUCGGCCGCACUGGGAGUGAGAGACGGCCCAGAGUCCUGCGGGAGGCAGCAGUAGUGAAUCUUCGGCAAUGGGGGCAAGCCUGACCGAGCAACGCCGCGUGAGUGAAGAAGGUUUUCGGGUCGUAAAGCUCUGUUGUAAGUCAAGAACGAGUGUGAGAGUGGAAAGUUCACACUGUGACGGUAGCUUGCCAGAAAGGGACGGCUAACUACGUG
rnacentral:rRNA from 1 species